rnacentral:rRNA from 1 species
CAGUAGCGGCGAGCGAACGGGGAGCAGCCCAGAGCCUGAAUCAGUGUGUGUGUUAGUGGAAGCGUCUGGAAAGGCGCGCGAUACAGGGUGACAGCCCCGUACACCAAAAUGCACAGGCUGUGAACUCGAUGAGUAGGGCGGGACACGUGGUAUCCUGUCUGAAUAUGGGGGGACCAUCCUCCAAGGCUAAAUACUCCUGACUGACCGAUAGUGAACCAGUACCGUGAGGGAAAGGCGAAAAGAACCCCGGCGAGGGGAGUGAAAAAGAACCUGAAACCGUGUACGUACAAGCAGUGGGAGCCUCUUAAUGGGGUGACUGCGUACCUUUUGUAUAAUGGGUCAGCGACUUAUAUUCUGUAGCAAGGUUAACCGAAUAGGGGAGCCGAAGGGAAACCGAGUCUUAACUGGGCGUUAAGUUGCAGGGUAUAGACCCGAAACCCGGUGAUCUAGCCAUGGGCAGGUUGAAGGUUGGGUAACACUAACUGGAGGACCGAACCGACUAAUGUUGAAAAAUUAGCGGAUGACUUGUGGCUGGGGGUGAAA